GCCGAAGUGGUGGAAUUUGGUAGACACGCUGUCUUGAGGGGGCAGUACUCGAAAGGGUGUGGGGGUUCGAAUCCCCCCUUCGGCACCA
rnacentral:tRNA from 1 species